UGAGGAAUAUUGCGCAAUGGGGGCAACCCUGACGCAGCGACGCCGCGUGAGUGAGGAAGGCCUUCGGGUCGUAAAGCUCUGUCAAAGGGAAAGAAGUGCAUGGUGGCUAAUACCUGCCAUGUUUGACGGUACCCUUAAAGGAAGCACCGGCUAACUCCGUGCCAGCAGCCGCGGUAAUACGGAGGGUGCAAGCGUUGUUCGGAAUCACUGGGCGUAAAGGGCGCGUAGGCGGUUUGAUACGUCAGAUGUGAAAGCCCCCGGCUUAACUGUGGAAGUGCAUUUGAAACUGGCAGACUUGAGUAUCAGAGGGGAAAGUGGAAGUCCCGGUGUAGAGGUGAAAUUCGUAGAUAUCGGGAGGAAUACCGGUGGCGAAGGCGACUUUCUGGCUGAAUACUGACGCUGAGGCACGAAAGCGUGGGGAGCAAACA
rnacentral:rRNA from 1 species